ensembl:snRNA
GUGUUGUAUGAAAGGAGAGAAAAUGAGUACUCCCCUUGACAAGGAUGGAUGAGGCCCUCAGGCCUGACAACAAACGUACACACAGUUAAGUCCCUGCCACCUACUUCGUGGCAUCUAAUCAUCGUUUUUU